ensembl:lncRNA
CUCCUGUUUGGGAUCGAGCGCGCCGGUGGUCUCCUGGAUCCUGCUCAUCUUCUCCCGGAGCGCAAAGACGCGCCGGUUCGUGGCGAGCAGCUCGUGCUCCAGAUCCUGGAAGAGCGAGCAGGCGUGUUUGGCCAGAUCCGACAGCUGGCGCAGGGUCCGGGACAGAGCCACAUUACUGAAGGCGCACAGGUCCUGGAGCAGGAGACCCUCCUCAUCCGCGUCCGCGCGUCUGCACAGCCACUGGGGCUCCACGAUCCGCUUGGCAAAUGGCAUUUUGUCAUGUAGAGUUCAGGUAUAAAAUCCACCUUUGGAGGAAAACGCAAACAGGUUCCAUGUAAAAAGCAAGACCCCCUCCUCCUCCUCCUCCUCCGUCAGUCCAGGGUCUCUCGCGGCUCGUCCUCCAUCCUCCGUUCGGCCGGACACACACACACACACGCGCGCGCUGAACCGCACUGAGGUCCGCCUCUGUCGCUCUGAUCCCGCUUCCACUCACUGGCGUGCUUUUCUGCGCUUUAAACUCCGAAUGCUUUUAAGGAAAGACGGAGCGAAAACCUGGAGUGGAGUGCGGCGACAACUGGAUCCGGAACAACCGCUUUGCAUUCAUGAGACAGACAGAUGUUUUUCAAAGUCAGUUUAUGCCGAUCUGCUGCGGCGCGUGAUGGAC